AACUCUCUCCAUAACAGGUUCUUCUUCAUUUUCCCAUAAAUCGAAACAUCGGUUUCCGGGUCGGGUCGGAUCUCCAGAUGGAGUUGCGGGUAAGCUACAAAAUCCGGGUCGUAUAACGGGUCGUCUAGGUGACCCGAAUACAGGUGAACCCAUUUGUACGUUCCAUGAUGAUGAAGGCAUGGAAUUCAACCUGUUUAACUGUAGCUGACGCAGUGAAGCCAUUACUUCACUCACCGAGUUCGAUCCGACGGAUCGACUCAGUGAGGUAAACGAGUUCGCCGUCAUCGGAGACAUAGGUGGUGACUCCGACGGCGGCGAACUCGAUUCAGGCGAUGAAACAAAAUGCAAACCUUUAACAUACCGUCGAGGCGAAUCUGAACCCGGACCCGGACUCGAACCCGAACCCGGUCCCAGUACUCUGAGUUGCUCAGGCGAGUGAGCGAAGAAACAAACUCUUCGUUUACAGUUACCACCAUCUUUACAAGGCUGCGUACGA
rnacentral:misc_RNA from 1 species